UACAGAGGUGGCAAGCGUUGUUCGGAAUUACUGGGCGUAAAGCGCGUGUAGGCGGGUCGGCGUGUCGGGUGUGAAAUCCCCAGGCUCAACCUGGGAACUGCAUUCGAAACUACCGGCCUAGAGUGGUGGAGAGGGAAGUGGAAUUCCUGGUGUAGAGGUGAAAUUCGUAGAUAUCAGGAGGAACACCAGUGGCGAAGGCGGCUUCCUGGACACCAACUGACGCUGAGACGCGAAAGCGUGGGGAGCAAACAGG
rnacentral:rRNA from 1 species